GAAUCAAAUCAACAAUAAUGACUCAUGGUUAAACAUUUCAAACUCAAUUAUCAAAACAGCAAAUACCCAUCUUAAUAUUAAUUAUCAAUAUCUAUACAUAAUGUACAUAAAUACAAAUGUGUUAUUUUAAUUAUUUCUGCUAGCAAUAUAAUUAUACAUGAAUGGGUUUAAAUUUAAUCGUCAAUAUGUGUCAUUAAAUCAUCACAACACAAAUUCUCAUUAAAUAUUUUCUUUGUUAUUUUUUAUUUUUCAAUAUUAUUUUUUAGAUGUUACAAGAAAAGAUGACACAAUUAAAUCAGGACAGAAAAAAUUUCCUAGGUCAAGUGAAAAGUUUCAUUCUAGUACCAUAAAAGAUGAUGAUGAAAAUUUUCAAGAACCAGCUAUUAAAAAUCUAAAGCUUAAUGCGGAAGAAAAUCAUAUGAAGGUUAUGAAUAUACUAAAUUCGAUAGUUGGAGAGGAUUAUAAUUGUAUAAACAAAAAAG